rnacentral:rRNA from 1 species
UACGGAAGGCAGCAGUGGGGAAUAUUGCACAAUGGGCGCAAGCCUGAUGCAGCCAUGCCGCGUGUAUGAAGAAGGCCUUCGGGUUGUAAAGUACUUUCAGUCGUGAGGAAGGUGUUAAGGUUAAUAACCUUAGCAAUUGACGUUAGCGACAGAAGAAGCACCGGCUAACUCCGUGCCAGCAGCCGCGGUAAUACGGAGGGUGCGAGCGUUAAUCGGAAUUACUGGGCGUAAAGGGCACGCAGGCGGUUAAUUAAGUUGGAUGUGAAAUCCCCGGGCUUAACCUGGGAAUGGCAUUCAAGACUGGUUAGCUAGAGUCUUGUAGAGGGGGUAGAAUUCCAUGUGUAGCGGUGAAAUGCGUAGAGAUGUGGAGGAAUACCGGUGGCGAAGGCGGCCCCGUGGACAAAGACUGACGCUCAUGUGCGAAAGCGGUGGGGAGACGAAACG